rnacentral:ncRNA from 1 species
CUCUGAUUUUUAUAAAUUCAGGGCGAUAAGGAG